GACGGAGGAUGCAAGUGUUAUCCGGAAUCACUGGGCGUAAAGCGUCUGUAGGUGGUUUAGUAAGUCUAUUGUUAAAUCUUGAGGCUCAACUUCAAAUCAGCAAUGGAAACUGCUAGACUCGAGUAUGGUAGAGGUAAGGGGAAUUUCCAGUGGAGCGGUGAAAUGCGUAGAUAUUGGAAAGAACACCGAUGGCGAAGGCACCUUACUGGGCCAUUACUGACACUCAGAGACGAAAGCUAGGGUAGCAAAUGGGAUUAGAUACCCCAGUAGUCCUAGCAGUAAACGAUGGAUACUAGAUGUUGCCCGUUCACCGCAGUGUCAAAGCUAACGCGUUAAGUAUCCCGCCUGGGAAGUAUGCUCGCAAGAGUG
rnacentral:rRNA from 1 species